UUGAACGCUGGCGGCAGGCCUAACACAUGCAAGUCGAACGGUAACAGGAAGCAGCUUGCUGCUUUGCUGACGAGUGGCGGACGGGUGAGUAAUGUCUGGGAAACUGCCCGAUGGAGGGGGAUAACUACUGGAAACGGUAGCUAAUACCGCAUAACGUCGCAAGACCAAAGAGGGGGACCUUAGGGCCUCUUGCCAUCGGAUGUGCCCAGAUGGGAUUAGCUAGUAGGUGGGGUAACGGCUCACCUAGGCGACGAUCCCUAGCUGGUCUGAGAGGAUGACCAGACACACUGGAACUGAGACACGGUCCAGACUCCUACGGGAGGCAGCAGUGGGGAAUAUUGCACAAUGGGCGCAAGCCUGAUGCAGCCAUGCCGCGUGUAUGAAGAAGGCCUUCGGGUUGUAAAGUACUUUCAGCGGGGAGGAAGGGAGUAAAGUUAAUACCUUUGCUCAUUGACGUUACCCGCAGAAGAAGCACCGGCUAACUCCGUG
rnacentral:rRNA from 1 species